UACGUAGGGUGCAAGCGUUGUCCGGAAUUAUUGGGCGUAAAGAGCUCGUAGCCGGUUUGUCGAGUCUGCUGUGAAAAUCCAGGGCUUAACCCUGGACCUGCAGUGGGUACGGGCAGACUAGAGUGCGGUAGGGGAGAUCGGAAUUCCUGGUGUAGCGGUGAAAUGCGCAGAUAUCAGGAGGAACACCGGUGGCGAAGGCGGAUCUCUGGGCCGUAACUGACGCUGAGGAGCGAAAGCAUGGGGAGCGAACAGG
rnacentral:rRNA from 1 species